UGGGGAAUAUUGGACAAUGGGCGAAAGCCUGAUCCAGCCAUGCCGCGUGUGUGAAGAAGGUCUUCGGAUUGUAAAGCACUUUAAGUUGGGAGGAAGGGCAGUAAGCGAAUACCUUGCUGUUUUGACGUUACCGACAGAAUAAGCACCGGCUAACUCUGUGCCAGCAGCCGCGGUAAUACAGAGGGUGCAAGCGUUAAUCGGGAUUACUGGGCGUAAAGCGCGCGUAGGUGGUUCGUUAAGUUGAAUGUGAAAGCCCCGGGGUCAACCUGGGGAAUGCAUACAAAACUGGCGAGCGAGAGGAGGGGAGAGGGUGGUGGGAAUUCCUGGGUAGCGGGGAAAAACGUUGAUAUAGGAAAGGACACCAGGGGGGGAGGCGACCACCUGGGCGCAUACUGGCACUGAGGUGCGAAAGCGUGGGGAGCAAACAGG
rnacentral:rRNA from 1 species